UACGAAGGGGGCUAGCGUUGCUCGGAAUGACUGGGCGUAAAGGGCGCGUAGGCGGUUUGGACAGUCAGAUGUGAAAUUCCUGGGCUCAACCUGGGGGCUGCAUUUGUGACUGCAUGGCUAGAGUACGGUAGAGGGGGAUGGAAUUCCGCGUGUAGCAGUGAAAUGCGUAGAUAAUGCGGAGGACACCGAUGGCGAAGGCAAUCCCCUGGACCUGUACUGACGCUCAUGCACGAAAGCGUGGGGAGCAACAGG
rnacentral:rRNA from 1 species